rnacentral:rRNA from 1 species
GAUGAACGCUGGCGGCGUGCCUAAUACAUGCAAGUCGAGCGAACAGACGAGGAGCUUGCUCCUCUGACGUUAGCGGCGGACGGGUGAGUAACACGUGGAUAACCUACCUAUAAGACUGGGAUAACUUCGGGAAACCGGAGCUAAUACCGGAUAAUAUAUUGAACCGCAUGGUUCAAUAGUGAAAGACGGUUUUGCUGUCACUUAUAGAUGGAUCUGGGCCGCAUUAGCUAGUUGGUAGGGUAACGGCUUACCAAGGCAAUGAUGCGUAGCCGACCUGAGAGGGUGAACGGGCACAUUGGGACUGAGGUACGGCCCAGAGUCGUAUGGGAGGCAGCAGUGGGGAAUAUUGCACAAUGGGCGGAAGACUGAUGAAGAAACGCUGCGUGCGGGAUGACGGCCUUCGGGUUGUAAACCGCUUUCGCCUGUGACGAAGCGUGAGUGACGGUAAUGGGUAAAGAAGCACGGGCUAACUACGUG